rnacentral:rRNA from 1 species
AGGACGAACGCUGGCGGCGUGCCUAAUACAUGCAAGUCGAGCGAGCUUGCCUAUAGAAGUUCUUCGGAAUGGAAAUAGAUACAAGCUAGCGGCGGAUGGGUGAGUAACGCGUGGGUAACCUGCCCUUAAGUCUGGGAUACCAUUUGGAAACAGAUGCUAAUACCAGAUAAAAGCUACUUUCGCAUGAAAGAAGUUUAAAAGGCGGCGUAAGCUGUCGCUAAAGGAUGGACCUGCGAUGCAUUAGCUAGUUGGUAAGGUAACGGCUUACCAAGGCGAUGAUGCAUAGCCGAGUUGAGAGACUGAUCGGCCACAUUGGGACUGAGACACGGCCCAAACUCCUACGGGAGGCAGCAGUAGGGAAUCUUCCACAAUGGACGAAAGUCUGAUGGAGCAACGCCGCGUGAGUGAAGAAGGUUUUCGGAUCGUAAAGCUCUGUUGUUGGUGAAGAAGGAUAGAGGUAGUAACUGGCCUUUAUUUGACGGUAAUCAACCAGAAAGUCACGGCUAACUACGUGCCAGCAGCCGCGGUAAUACGUAGGUGGCAAGCGUUGUCCGGAUUUAUUGGGCGUAAAGCGAGCGCAGGCGGAAGAAUAAGUCUGAUGUGAAAGCCCUCGGCUUAACCGAGGAACUGCAUCGGAAACUGUUUUUCUUGAGUGCAGAAGAGGAGAGUGGAACUCCAUGUGUAGCGGUGGAAUGCGUAGAUAUAUGGAAGAACACCAGUGGCGAAGGCGGCUCUCUGGUCUGCAACUGACGCUGAGGCUCGAAAGCAUGGGUAGCGAACAGGAUUAGAUACCCUGGUAGUCCAUGCCGUAAACGAUGAGUGCUAAGUGUUGGGAGGUUUCCGCCUCUCAGUGCUGCAGCUAACGCAUUAAGCACUCCGCCUGGGGAGUACGACCGCAAGGUUGAAACUCAAAGGAAUUGACGGGGGCCCGCACAAGCGGUGGAGCAUGGUGGUUUAAUUCGAAGCACGCGAAGAACCUUACCAGGUCUUGAACAUCUAGUGCCAUUUGUAGAGAUACAAAGUUCCCUUCGGGGACGCUA